GUUCAUAUUUUGCUUACAGGUAUUCAAGCUUCCGUGAUCGCCGCUCUUGCCAGCAGAGAGUCCAACGGUGGAUCUGCCCUUCGCAACGGUUAUGGAGAUGGUGGCAAAGCAUGGGGAAUCCUCCAGUGCGACAUUGUGCACUCUGGCCAGCCUUGCACUUCAGUUCCAUGGAACAGCUGCGAGCACAUUGAGAUGAUGGUCCACAACAUCCUUCUUGCCAACAUCCACACA
rnacentral:sRNA from 1 species